CAAAGUUAGUUUCUAAAAAUUUGAGAUUUUAGAAAAGCGUAUUUAUAUUAGAAAAAGUAAUUUGAAAGUGUAAAAAAUAACGAGAUUUGAAAAUCAGCUUCAAUGGCCGAAACCGGAAGUGACGUAUUGUAAUGGACUGAGAAAAUGUAAAUAAAAAUAGACAUGGCUGGAUACGUUAUUGAUAGCGAUUCAGAUGAUAAACUUAAAUCUAAAUCUAGCUGUCCAACAAUUUUAAAUGAUACUUAUCAUGGGAUGCACCAAAAUGCCCUGAAGAGAACUCUUCUACUUUUUCAAAAUAUAUUCUAGAGCAGACUAUUGAAUUAAUAUAAUUAUAGAUAGAUUAUAAUAGGACUACAUCUAGAUUCUAGAUCUAGUCUACUCUAGUAGUAGUCUCUAGUAUCAUCAAGUACUAGUAGAUCAUCUAGGACUAGGUCUAGAAAACAUAUAUGACAUGUGGCAUACAGACAAGUUUACUAGAUGGAUCUUUCAUCAUUUUGGAAAUACAAAUCACAGAAACAUUCUACAAUUUUAUUUUAUAUAAUAAAUACCAAUAAAUGUAAAUACAAAAUCA